CAGACAGUGUAACUGCACUAGGUGGCGCUCUUUCAGUGUGAUUAAUGUGAUGUUCAGUCAGUGGUGAUGGUGGGAGGAGCCAGUAAAGCUGCUCAUUACUGAUAAAGAGCUGAAUAAAGAGGAAGUAACUAAAGCAGACAGAUGUAGAGACAGAGAGAUUCACACAGAGAUCAUUCAGCAUAAAGAAGACUGAACUCAACUCACAAUGAAGAUCCUCCUCAUCUUCCUCACUUUCUACCUGAUCUCAGGUCAGAGCUUUUCUCUUUCAUCACUGCAGUAAUGAUGCUGUUUUCUGUUCAUCAGCUUUCUGAUCACAGUAUCAAUCUGAUUGACAGCUGCAGUGAGAUGCUUUAGCGUCACGGGAUAUUCUGGAGGAAGUCUUCUUGUUGAUUCUGGGAAACUUUGGUCCAGUGACUCUGCUAAAUAUAUGGCCAAAUUACCUGAGUGGAGAACAAUAAUAAAUGAUAAGAAACAUGAUAAAUGGAUUAAUGAAGGAAGAUUCACACUUUAUCGAAACAGUGAGGGAAACCUCAUGAUCUUCAUCAGAGAACUCAAUCAACAUGAUGCUGGAAGAUACGCAAUUGAUGUUCUUCACAACCAGCGUAUAUAUAUGACUGUGAAUGUGAAAGAAGAAGAAGAGUCAUGUUGUAAAGUGUCAAAGAGAGUGAUGGUGAAUAUUGGAGAAUCUGCCAAUUUCAGCUGUGAAUAUUCACAGAAUCAUAUUAAUGAUCCCAAGAUCAUAUUCAAAGAAGAAAAAGACUCCAUUGAGAUGAUUUACAGCAGAUGGAAGAAGAAAGAAAGAUUCAGUAUUUCUGAUGAUGAACAUAAACACAUCUUCAGUGUGAGAAUCACUGCUGUGACACCAGAUGAUGGAGGAGUUUAUUUAUGUGGAGUUUGGAUCAACAGAGACUCGUACAGUUACUCCAUUAUUAACACUGUUCACCUACAUAUUAUGAAUUUCUCCGUGAUCUCCAUUAUUAGUGUGUGUGUGAUUCUGCUGCUGAUCGGUGGAUUCACUCUGACUGUGUGCAAAUUAAGACACAAGAGACGAGGUGACACACACACACACAGGCCAGUUCACUCACAGUUACCCACAAUCCCCUCUGAUGAGCUGCUGUACGCUACAGUUUCUCAUCCCCACUGAAUAUAUAUAUAUAUAU
rnacentral:lncRNA from 1 species